CGAACGGGUGAGUAAUGCGUGACCAACCUGCCCCAUGCUCCAGAAUAGCUCUUGGAAACGGGUGGUAAUGCUGGAUGCUCCAACUUGACGCAUGUCUUGUUGGGAAAGUGUUUAGUGGCAUGGGAUGGGGUCGCGUCCUAUCAGCUUGUAGGCGGGGUAAUGGCCCACCUAGGCUUCGACGGGUAGCCGGCCCGAGAGGGCGGACGGCCACAUUGGGACUGAGAUACGGCCCAGACUCCUACGGGAGGCAGCAGCC
rnacentral:rRNA from 1 species